rnacentral:lncRNA from 1 species
UAUUGACCCAUUCGAUCCUCUCAGUGAGAGUGGGCUGUGCUCACCCCAUUCUACAGGUGAGAAAACUAAGCCCCAGAUCAGUUAAGUCCAGUGGCCAAGGUCACACAGUAAACCCAGGAAGUCUGGCUCCCAUCUCCUUGUCAUGACCACUACCCUGGAUGUAAAUGGGCCCCCGAGAGCCCUCGCCCAGCCAUUUGUGCCUGGGGAGCCCUUCCAGAGGAGGCAAGCGAACUUGCCGAUCCCAGUCCCGCCCCAGGUCCUGUUAAGAGCUUUUUUCCCUGUUGCCCCAACAAUGUGUUGCUCCCAAGGGCAAUGGUUGUGAGGGGUGGGGGCUGAGUGACCCAUGUUUGACCCUGACCUUGCUCCCUGCUCCUGGCUCUGACCUCAGCUAAUCCCCUAAGGAGAGAGAGCACCUUCUUGAUACACAUCUGAGACGUCCAGGACUCACCUCUGUGUUCCCCUCUGUCUGGAAGGAGAUCAGGCUGCAGGCACGGUUUGAUGUUCUCUGCCGGGCCCCAGGAGCCUCCAUCCCAGAACAGAGGGGAACCUGCUCAGAUUCUUGGCUCCUGGUUUGUGCCUGCUCUUCUGAAGCUUCCCUGACAUGCUGGAUUACCCAUCUCCUGCCUGAAUGUGACGCCUGCUCACCUCAGGAGCCUCACCCUCCAACUCGGGGACCCAACGAGCAGGGACAGCCCGGCAGCGCGAGAAUUCUUGCACCUGCCUCAGCCCCUAACAGAGCAAUCAGGGAGCAUACGGG